GCGCCUGUAGCUCAAUUGGAUAGAGCGUCGGUCUUCGGAACCGUAGGUUGUGGGUUCGAGUCCUACCGGGCGCACCA
rnacentral:tRNA from 1 species